UACGAAGGGGGCUAGCGUUGUUCGGAAUUACUGGGCGUAAAGGGCGCGCAGGCGGCUACGCACGUCCGUUGUGAAAUCGCUCGGCUCAACUGGGCGGGGUCAGCGGAUACGGCGUAGCUGGAGCAAGCUAGGGGGCAAUGGAAUUCCCGGUGUAGUGGUGGAAUGCGUAGAUAUCGGGAGGAACACCAGUGGCGAAGGCGGUUGCCUGGAGCUUUGCUGACGCUGAGGCGCGAAAGCGUGGGGAGCGAUCCGG
rnacentral:rRNA from 1 species